UAGGGAAUACUGCAAAAUGGGCGAAAGCCCGAUGCAGCAACGCCGCGUGGGCGAUGAAGGCCUUCGGGUCGUAAAGCCCUUUUCGAGGGGAUGAGGAAGGACAGUACCCUCAGAAUAAGCCUCGGCUAACUACGUGCCAGCAGCCGCGGUAAAACGUAGGAGGCGAGCGUUAUCCGGAUUUACUGGGCGUAAAGCGCGUGCAGGCGGAUUGGAGAGUUGGAUGUGAAAGCUCCCGGCUUAACUGGGAGAGGUCGUUCAAUACUUCCAGUCUUGAGUGCAGUAGAGGGAAGUGGAAUUCCGGGUGUAGUGGUGAAAUGCGUAGAUAUCCGGAGGAACACCAGUGGCGAAAGCGGCUUCCUGGACUGUAACUGACGCUCAGACGCGAAAGCUAGGGUAGCAAACG
rnacentral:rRNA from 1 species